GAGGGUAUAGCUCAGUGGUAGAGCACGUGCUUAGCAUACACAAGGUCCUGGGUUCAAUUCCCAGUUCCUCUA
rnacentral:tRNA from 1 species